rnacentral:lncRNA from 1 species
UCUUCUUCACCUACUUCGCGUCUCAACAAAAACCAAAAUUCUCUCAACAACCGCAAGCAUCCAUGGCCACAAACUACAAACCAGAAACAUAGUGCCACCCAAAAUAGAACCUAUCGAUAACCUUGCUAAAUCCACCAUCUUCUUCGAGCGAAACCAGAAAACAUGAAACUGCUUUCUCCAUCAAGCCUCGCACACACCAUAUGCAAAGAGAAAGAAACAAAAAGUCCUAAAAAUA